AAGGGGCUUCUGUGGGAUGGAGCUGAAUGGAGGCGAGGCCGCAGGCCACCCUGUGCUCCUCCAGCGCGAGCCCCUGCA
rnacentral:pre_miRNA from 1 species